CCUCGGCAGGCGAUAGUCAUUCGGCUGCACUCGCACGUGUGACCGUGCCCUUAACGUUAGAUUACCGCCGACUGGCAGGCGAGGUUAGUGUCUACUGUUGCUGCGUUAGCCACCUGUUCUGAAAUAGAUCUAGGAUAAGGAAUGGGUUGGUGAGAUCCUUCUGCCUCAUGUUCCUCAGGAUGUGGAUUGUAAUCUUCAGAGACCUCUCACUGCCACAGGUCUCCAGCAACUUCUCAGCUAUGAACACAGCCUCAGGAUCUUCCUGUUCUCUCUCAAUGCAUUCUGAGUAAUCACAACUCUUAAACAAUGUCUUGAUCUCCAUAAAUUCAUCCACUACAGAAGGAUCUUCAGACAGAAUUACGCAGCAUUCUGGGCAAUCCUGACUCAGAUGGCUCUGAAACAUUUGAAACUUUUCAACCUUCUUCAGCUUCAUCAGAGUGCGCAGGAGAGACUAAAAUAAACAAAGGUAUAAUAAAGAGGUGUGCCAUAUCAGUGUGAAAA